rnacentral:rRNA from 1 species
AGUGAACGCUGGCGGUAGGCCUAACACAUGCAAGUCGAACGGCAGCACAGUAAGAGCUUGCUCUUACGGGUGGCGAGUGGCGGACGGGUGAGGAAUACAUCGGAAUCUACUUUUUCGUGGGGGAUAACGUAGGGAAACUUACGCUAAUACCGCAUACGACCUACGGGUGAAAGCAGGGGAUCUUCGGACCUUGCGCGAUUGAAUGAGCCGAUGUCGGAUUAGCUAGUUGGCGGGGUAAAGGCCCACCAAGGCGACGAUCCGUAGCUGGUCUGAGAGGAUGAUCAGCCACACUGGAACUGAGACACGGUCCAGACUCCUACGGGAGGCAGCAGUGGGGAAUAUUGGACAAUGGGCGCAAGCCUGAUCCAGCCAUCCCGCGUGGGUGAAGAAGGCCUUCGGGUUGUAAAGCCCUUUUGUUGGGAAAGAAGAGCAGCAGGUUAAUACCCCGCUGUUCUGACGGUACCCAAAGAAUAAGCACCGGCUAACUUCGUG